rnacentral:rRNA from 1 species
CUUCAUGAAGCUGGAAUUGCUAGUAAUGGCAGGUCAGCAUACUGCCGUGAAUACGUUCCCGGGCCUUGUACACACCGCCCGUCACACCAUGAGAGUUGGGAAUACCCGAAGCCUGUGAGCUAACUUUACGAGGCAGCAGUCGAAGGUAGAAUCAAUGAUUGGGAUGAAGUCGUAACAAGGUAAC